UACCAAUUGAAAUUGUAGAAUACUUAGAUAUGCUAAUUAUAAUUUAUAAAAUUUAUAAUAAAAAACAUUUUCUAUAUAAAACUUUUUCAUUACCACAUGGUUAAAUAAAAAAAAGUCAAAUAUAUAUGAUUUGUGAUAAAAUUUUAUUAUAUCAUAAAAAUUCUAUAAACAUGGGAGCUAUUUUCCUUAAUUUUUAUUUGCAGCUCACCCUUGACACCUUUGAUGCGCCUUUGAUAACUAUGAGCACCACUUCGACAAAAACUGAACCACACGCGCUUCAACGUCAAAAUCACAGCACAUAUUUUUAUACCUUUUUUUUUUUCUUCAUAAAACAAAUGUUUUUCAACUCAUUUAGACACGGACGUUAACAAAAUACAGCUUAUGACUGCAAUCCAUAGAUUCCUUGGAUUAACGUAUUUUAACAAGUCAAUCAUCUAUAAGACCUAAAAGUUACACUGGCCCUUCGCAUCUCCAUGGAAAUUUGGAUGAAUGAAUUUUGCCUGCGACGGUCAACUCUUUAAAAUGUCAGCAACCAGAUAUAAAAUACUCUUCUGUACAAAAUUCAACCAAGCUUUUUCAUAACAUUAGUGUACUUGUGAAAGUAAAACCUGUAAUAUGACAAGUGUGACUUCGAAUUUUCUUAGAAAUUCUUUCCACUUUCCACCCUCAUUUAGACUGUUCCUAAAGAUCAAAGUCAGCAUAUGAAGAAAAAGGACGUCAAAUGCGCUACUAUGACCCUACUUGGGUCAAAUACAAGAAUCACUAAGCAUAAAUAUACACAUCAUUUCUCCUCCAGCCGUCGUAGUACUGACUCAGCAAAGCUUUGUUGCCUGACAUACAAAAUGGCCAAUGAAUUUGACGUUUAAUAAUAUUGAACGCAGACUAUGAUAUUCAAGUUAUUGUCAAUUUCAGAACCAGUUCAGCAAUCAAAUAUAUCAAAUAAUUUCUGCAUGGAUACAAGAUCCAGGACACUGGGGAUGCUUCCAAUGAAAGAGUAAAAGAAAGGCAAACCGCUUUGCUACACCAGAUCAAUUAAAGAUUGACACGUACCAUGGGAGUUUUAUACUUACCCAAUAAAUAAUUGUCACAGUCUGAUUUAUACUAAUUAAUUCAUGGCUAUGGUUCAUUGUUUUGGUGUAAUACACUGGAAGUAGCAAAGAAGUUUCCUAAAGGAAGAUGAUAAAGAAGUUUCAAAAUGUCACCCUAUAACAAAAUCCAAAUGAAGAGUGAAAUCAUGUUAAGGAGGUUUACAACAUAUUUUGCUUAAAUGGAUGAAUUCGAAAACUCUUAUUAGCAUCUGUCUCCAAUGCGAGUUAAUCAACCAUAAAUUCAUUAAUAUAAAUAAAUUAGGGGUAAGCAAUAUUCAUUUAAGCCAAAUUAACAUAAUCCAUGUUAUUUAAUUAAAUUCUUUUUUUUCUUCUUGAUUUUACUUAUGUUUGAUUUUGAAAUUAUAGAUACAUAUAAAUCAUCUUCAGUACACAUUGCUUCAUCAUUUUUAUCCUUCCCAUUACUCAUCAUACCAAAAUCCCUAAUUUCCCAUUCAUUUGUUCACUGGUCCACCUUUUUCUCCAACAAAAUCCAUCUCAUCUUUGUCAGUUCUCUCAAUGGGCAGUUCUGCCAAGUUGAAUGUUGAACAGAUCAAGAGACCUUUGCUCUCAUCAUUGACUUCAUUUGAUUGUCACCAAUAUUUAAGCUUUCGUUUCACCAUUUGUUACAAAUUGAAGUUUUGAAGCUCUUGUUUAUCAAAAAUCCUGUUUGCUACAAGGCACAAAUAAUUGAUUGAAUCAAUUUGGGAACUUUGGCUUGUUUAUCCAUUAUCUCUAAGAACUAUGACCACAAGCCAUCCCAGUAAGAACCACCAACUUUGUUAUUGUUAUUUGUCAAUAGACUCAGUACUCAAUCCCUGUAAUAGAAAGAGACUGACUGGAAAAAGAAUUAGUUUAGUUGUUCAAUUCCAUAGCCUUUUUGGAUGCAUUCUCUAUAAGUUUCUAAUUUUCCAUUCUCCUUUGAUUCUUUUAUUUACUUCUGUGCCUUUCAAAGUCCAAAGAAAGAUUUCACCCCUUUUAGAAGACGAUGUCAAAUUAAUUAUUUUACUUUUUAAAGAUGUAUUCUCCGCAAUCAGCAGCAUUUCUUCAAGAUGAUGACUGAAACAACUGAUAACAGAACUUAAAUGUUUGCUCUGGUUAGCAUUAGUAGGAACUCAGUUACCUCGUCGAUUAUAGAACUUACAUUAACAGACUAAAUCAACAGAUUGCACACCUGUAACUAAAAUAUCUACAGCAAUGCAAGGAUUAUUGACCCUGAAGGUAUAGAAUUUAAGGCAGGAAGUAACCAUGUCAUUAUAGUGCUACAACGGGUGAGAUAAGUUUUAGCAGGAGCAUGUGUGGGUCUAAAAGGCUCAGGCGAGCUAAGACAAAAAAUUAUUGGCAAGAUGUUACAUACUAUAGAAAGAAGAAGAGAAAUAAUAAUGUUAAGGAGAAUAAGGGUCAGGUAGAGAAUGUUUUGGAGGGAAAUGCUGUUGAGGAAGUUAGAGGGAAUAACUGAAUUUGUUAAUUGGUUACAGUUAGUUGUGUAACCGCUGUAGUUGUGUAACUGCUGUAUAAAAGGAACGAUCCUCAUCUGCAUUCAUUCAUUCCAUUAAUGAGUCAAUAACAGAACUUCUCUUUCUCUGGUUCUACUCUUUCUUCUCUUCUCAUCUAAGUCUAAUUCUCUUCUCAUCUACUCUCUAUUCUCUAGAUCUACUUCAAUCUUUGCAUCCAGGGGUUGAAUUAGGGCUGAUAACUAACAUAUUUCUCUUUAAAGGGGAUGAUUUAGGCAAAUUAAACAAAGGGCUUGCGAACACACAUGGAGAGCGGUUACACAUUGCAAGUUUAUAUCCUACAUAUCUUGCCUACUUAAUCUUCCCUAAAUAUGAUAAAUUCUGAAUACCUAACAAUUUAUUAUAGAUGCUUGCACAAAGCUGAUUAGCAUUUGUUGGCUAUAUGACGAUAUCAUAUGACAAAGGAGAAGAACUGUUCCUUGCAAAAGCAUUGCAUAUUGCUAACCAAAAUAUGCAACAUAAUUUGUAUUAUCUGACAAAAAGAACUUGUUUCAAAGUAAACAACAUAAGAUCUUCCUCUGAACUUACUAGAGUGUCACCAGUGAAAACUGC
rnacentral:misc_RNA from 1 species